rnacentral:lncRNA from 1 species
GCCAUGUCACAGGGGACAGAAUGUUGGCGGUGGCCGUGCCACAGAGGGAGCAGCUAUAAAAGGGCCGCAGCAGGCCAGGCCGGCCAGUCCGGCAAAGGAGCAGCCAGAUGAGUUGGGGCUGAGAAGGGAGAGGAGAGGCCCUCCAGGGCAAUGAAGGGCGGCCGCUCCCCUCCACCUGUUUUUUUAUUAUUACAGAUAGAAUCCUGGAAAACGACAGAGCAAGACCAUGGCUACAGCCUUCUUCCAGCACUCCACUGGAGACGUGUCAACGUUCGACAGGAGAGAUCCCUGGACUCCAUGGCCACAUGAUAAGGAAGGUCAACUCCCAGUCCCUUCCCAUACUGUGCCGCUGGCACCAGCCCCACUGAUGCCGUGGCCACAUCACAGUGGGGCUGGGGACACAGUGGGCCCAGGAGAUGCCAGAUAGUACACAUGGGUGGUUCUCUUCUUGCCUAGCCUCAGCGCUGGACACGGACGCGAGCCCAUGACACGGAAACAUUCGACAGGAGAGAUCCCUGGACUCCACGGCCACUUACUGAGGAAGGUCAACACCCCGUCCCUUCCCAUAUUGUGCCGCUGGCACCAGCCCCACUGAUGCCUUGUUGUCCAUACUUGCUUCUCUCCUAGCCUCACCGCUGGACAUGGACGCGAGCCCAUGACACGUCAACAUUCGACAGGACAGAUCCCUGGACUCCAUGGCCACAUGCUGAACAAGCCUCACCGCUGGACAUGGACACACGCCCCUGACACGUCAACAUUCGACAGGAGAGAUCCUUGGACUCCAUGGCCACAUGAUAAGGAAGGUCAACACCCAGUCCCUUCACAUAUUGUGCUGCUGGCACCAGCCCCACUGAUGUCACGGCCAUAUCACAGUGGGCCCAGGAGACGCCUGGUAUUAGACAUUGUGGUUCUCUUGUUGCCCAUACUUGCUUCUCUGCUAGCCUCACCGCUGGACAUGGACACACGCCCCUGACACAUCAACAUUCGACAGGAGAGAUCCCUGGACUCCAUGGCCACAUGCUGAGGAAGGUCAACUCCCAGUCUUCCCAUAUUGUGCCACUGGCACCAGCCCCACUGGUGUCG